AUAAAUGGGUUGCAAGAAUAGAUCUGACUUAAAAAAAUGGGUUGCAAUUUUGCUUUUGUACUCUGUUGUAUCCUCUUGGUUUCAUGUCCAUCUACAACUUUAUCAAAAACCUCUGACAUGGCUCGAGCCUUACUAGUCGAGAAGAAACCCGACGCAUCGGUCCAUAAGAAUGGCGGAAAUGUGUAUGGUACAGAUGGGUUAACAUAUGGUGGGUUUAAACCAGGACCGCCUGAAGAUGACGGCCCUCAUUAUUAAGAUUAUGCUCUCGUUGAUGAUUAUAUAUGGCAAGGCACGCAGAUUAUUUGUUACAAUGUCACAGCAUAAUGUAUUCAUACAUUAAUUAGUCACUUUGUAACAGUCGGUCUCUAUAUAUGUUGCUUCAAGUACUUUUGGAAUAAAGUUAUAUAUAUCGAUGAUAGAUAUAUGACGCAUUUUUACGGAA